UCUAGACAUGAGGGAAUUCUCUCGGGAGCAAUAUUACCUAGACAUAGGGAUGGGAGGAUUGAUUGCCUUUAAGCUUUUGUGCGAAUGUAAUGCAUGAACAAUUGCUAGGGAGACAAGACAUUGUAAACUAGUAAUUAUGAGUAGGCUCUCUUCACCAAGACAUUGGGAUAAGGGUAAAUUAAAAAGUGGCAUUAACAAUAAUGAAAGAGUAGAAUUCGUAAAUAUAUGAGAGUGGAUUAGGAUAAGUCGGAAACCCCCAACAGCACAAUUCAUCCAUAUCAUUCAACUGCCAAUUGAUCGGCUUUAGCAUGUGCAUGUUUAAUUUUCGUUUUAGCAUUAUAAACAU
rnacentral:lncRNA from 1 species